GACGAACGCUGGCGGCGUGCCUAAUACAUGCAAGUAGAACGCUGAAGGAGGAGCUUGCUUCUCUGGAUGAGUUGCGAACGGGUGAGUAACGCGUAGGUAACCUGCCUGGUAGCGGGGGAUAACUAUUGGAAACGAUAGCUAAUACCGCAUAAUAGUAGAUGUCGCAUGACAUUUGCUUAAAAGGUGCAAUUGCAUCACUACCAGAUGGACCUGCGUUGUAUUAGCUAGUUGGUGAGGUAACGGCUCACCAAGGCAACGAUACAUAGCCGACCUGAGAGGGGGAUCGGCCACACUGGGACUGAGACACGGCCCAGACUCCUACGGGAGGCAGCAGUAGGGAAUCUUCGGCAAUGGACGGAAGUCUGACCGAGCAACGCCGCGUGAGUGAAGAAGGUUUUCGGAUCGUAAAGCUCUGUUGUAAGAGAAGAACGAGUGUGAGAGUGGAAAGUUCACACUGUGACGGUAUCUUACCAGAAAGAGACGGCUAACUACGUG
rnacentral:rRNA from 1 species